UGUGUCCUCAUGGAUACUCGUUACUGCUGAGCCACAACAGGAACUCCUGAAUUAAACUCUUAAAUAUACUAUUUCAUAAUGUGAGUUUUGAUCCACUAUUAUCCUGUCCCAGUUUCAUUACUUUGACUUCUUAAUGCAACAGUUUGACAACUGAGAGAAAAAUGUUAGAUUUCUCUCCAAGUUGAAGUGAUUUCUGAAGAGCCAGCAUGGGACGUGAGGUGUGUUUUCCUUCUGCCCAUCAGCUGCCUGGUCCUUCCUCUCCGUGGGCCUGGCACUGCCUGUCUCAUUCCCAACUACCUUCCCGCUUUGCCGUCACACUCAUUUUGCCCUCCCGUUGUGGGCACUUGAGCCGGGGGGACGGUCAGCCCUGCAGGAGCGCUGCUGAAGGAAGAAGAAUGGGAGGGAUGAGGGGGAUGCUACUGUCGCAUCACAGGCUAGGACCUCAGCUGCUGUGUGUGUCCUAGCAGUUUGAUGUAGCACCGCAGGAUGAGGUCAGUUGCAGGAGUCCUAUCUUUUGGAUGUGAGUCCGGGUUCCCUCGCUCACUGCAGGGUGACCUGGGGAAGACUUCAUCUCUAUAAGCCCCAGUUUCUUCCUAUGUAAACCAAGUGAGAUAACAGUAACUAACCUCUAUGAAAUAAAAAGAUUAUCGGUGCAAUGUACUGGGUAUCAUGCCUACUGAAUAGCUAGUGUCCAAUAAGAAUUAGCUUGUAUGGUCUGUUACAGCCCUCCGCCCACCCCUACCCUGCCUCCCCAUCCGCAGACUGGUCCCUUACACUCCUGUAAUCUACGUUCCAACUCAGGCUCUCCACCACAUUGUCAACCUGAGCUUUGCCAGCCUUGUCUCCAAGCACCCGUCGAGUGCUUAGAUUUUCAAUGUUAGAUUUUCAAGUCUUUUGGCACUUCACCUGGGCUCAUAAUGUAUCCCACAGGCGCUGAAAAGAAGAAGAGUUAAUAUUAGCUCUUGUUCCACCCGCUCACGUGGUUUGAAAAGAGAGAACCAGCAGCAAAAAUCUUGCUCCUGAUCAGAAUUUUUCUUUUCUGCUUUCAGUUUUUCUUCUCAGGGGGCCAUAGGAAAUUGAACUUGAAACUAUGAUUUGUCCUUUCUUUUCCAGUCUCCCAGGAAAAUCAUUAAGUUUUUUAGCAGAUGCUGGGGAGAGACUCAUUUUCUUUUCCAUUUAACAAACGAUACAUUUUUGACCAGGGUUUCUUGAACUCCACAUACUAGCAAGAUGGUUUUUGCUUUACUGCCUUCCUCAUUUCAUUUUAUCAGCACUGCCAGCAAAACUCUGGGAAUGCGAUCUGUUAGGCCAUGUCUUCAGCAGCCAAGAUUUGAAGGGUGCAACAGAUUGAAGGUUUUCAAACCACAGAACAAUGCUUCCAAUUUUUGUUCGGUGAGCAAUGAAAUGCUUUCUUGUGGGAGCCCUUGCUCCCUCUGUUGGGUAAAUGGAUGACUUUCCUUGGAUGCUGUAUAAAAGACUGAUUAAAGAAAAAUGGCUGCAGGCAGCUGCAAGAUGGAUUCUUCAGCCCAGUAUACAUUCCUUGCUGUUAAAAGCAAGUUUAAAUCAGGUCCGAUAACCAUUCACUACAUCCCUGAAGUCUGCACAUAAGUCACCCACUCGGGAAGGGAGAAGGAGGCUGGUAUAUUAAGUGCUGGUGCACAGGUCUCAAAUACCCGGCACCCCAAAUGUCAGGUGAGUUUUACAUGGGUCAUGCUUAAAUCCUCCAUUUAAUUGUGACUGUUGGUUUGUCCAAGUAGCAGAAAGCAAGCAAGAGGAGAAAAAAAUGUUUGACUCUAAGAACUCUGACUCACUAUAAAUAAAACAAACUCCAAUAUUGCUUCCACUUUAGUUUAUAGUCCUUUGAUUUUUCCACUCUAAUUUCCAUUCACUUGACUUGCAGUGGGUAAAUCUUGCCUGGCUUAAAGAUGGGCUUGUAUGCCUUUGUUCAAACCAUGAAUUUCCUACCUGGGCAGGCAGAUAGAUACAUCCAUAAACACACCUCUGGGUAUAGGUGCACAAAGAGAUCCCAGCAGCUAAUCCUAGCCUUAUAAAAAAGAUGUGCAUUCCACAUGCACUCUCUAGAAGAUAGAGUGCACUCCCUCCCCAUCAAUCCACAGUCACACAACAUUGGGAGAAGUCAUGUUUUUUUUUUAAGCAUAAGCAAGAUUUUUUUAGUAAAUAACUAUUUACUAAGCAUGUACUAUGUGCUAUGAGUCCUUCUGGGUGCACACAGAUAUAAGACACUGAUGAACAAAAUCCAAAGAGUUGAGACACAUCAGUGAACAAAGCAAAGACCCUCACUUUUGUGGAGGGAGAAACACCACAAGCAUAAUAAUGAAGAUAAUUACAUAGUAUAUUAGAGGAUGAUGUACACUAUUUGGGGAAAAGAAAAAAUAAAGCGAGGUAAGGUGGUUGGAAGUAAGGAAGCAGUUUUAAACAGUGGUCAGGAUAGGCUUCAGUGAGAAGGUCAUCUCUAAGAAAAGACGUGAGGGACUUGGGUUAUAGCAGAGAGAGGAUGGAGCUGCAUCAGCUGAGAUUAGGAAGGCUGAGUGCACUGCACAUUUGUGCUAUGACGGGACAGCUCAGGUUUAGCCAUAUUGGAUUUCAGAUACCUAUCAGACAUCUGAGAGGGGGAUAGUGUUAAAUAAGCAGUGGGGUGUGUGAGCCAUGAAUUCAGUUGACAGGUCUACACAACAGCUAAAAAUGUGUGACUCAUAGCCUAUAGGUGGUUUUUAAAGUCAUAAGGUUGUAGGGGUCACUAAGAAGGUGAGAGGAGUUAGAGACAAAAGAGGACCAGGAUUCCAGAGCUGACAUGGCACAGCUUUAAGAAAGUGGAGAGAAGAGGUACCUGUGGAGGGGGACUGAGAAGAGGCAGCCGGUGACGGAGGAGGAAAACCGAGAUUGAGGUGACCCAGAAGCCACAUGAAGACGUGCACUGAGGAGGAGAGAGUGAUCACGGCUACAGAGGCUCAGGAAGGUGAGAAGUCAGAAGUGAUCCCUGGAUUUCGCAACAGUGAGGUCUUGACAAAUAGCACUCGUGAACUGUUGGGGAAGAAAGCCUGACGGACAUGGGUUUGAGAGUUAAGAGCUCACUAAUAGAGGCUCCUUUGAAGAGUUUGGUGCAAAGAAUGGCCAGCUCAGGGAGGGACAGUCUCUCCUCAGCCAGAAAAGUAUUUCAAGAUGUCAAAACAUCAUAACUUACAGAAAAUAAUAAGUGCAUUAUUACACAAGGACAGCUAAAGCGCCUGGACAUUACAUAUAAAACAAACAUACAAAGACUGAAAUGUGGAGAAAAGAAAGCAGAUUGGCAAAGGACUCCAGGACCCAAGAAAUGACCUUCUGCGGUAACGAUUAGCCUGAAGUACUCAACCGCAGAUCAGCUGGAACCUAAGGGCUGAUGACAUUGACCUUUUCUGGCACUUGUGACUUCAAUCAAUCAAAGCUUGGACUCCAUUGACCUUUUCCCCAAUUCUAUGCUGAACUUUCCUCUGCUCAAGUCCCUUCCCACAGAUGCACAUACCUUUAGCUUAAAACUUCCCCAGUUUUGCUCUUUGGGAAGACACUGCUUGGGGAAAGAUGACCGGUGUUCUGCUUUCUUGCAACAAGUAAUAAAUCCUUCCUUCUGCCAAUCUUCGGCUUGGUUGUGUUUUUUUGGCUUGACACGCACAAAGAAGUGAACCCAGUUUUUGGGUAACAAGAAGAGCCAAGAAGGGAGUUGGGAUUUCACAAGCCAGUAAUGAGGCCCACUCUUUCUGUGAUGAACUUCCAUUUCUGCCCAGCAGCAAUGUGGUGCCUCUCCCUCUCCCUACUAGAGUGGUUUCAGAGAGGCCUAGUGGAGAGUCAUGACUUUCACCAUCAUCCAAGAGAAAUUAAAUUCUUCCCACUGCAAAGUCAGUGGAGACCACUUGGGAGGUUAGAAUUCCCAUUUUCAUUUAUAUCCUGCAGUAACAAGAAAUACCUCCUGCCCUCAGGGUGGCCAACUUCAGCCCUAACAUAUCAAUAAUUACAUU